UUUAUGUUUACUUAUGGCCAGUUCAUUUAUAUUUGUAAUGUUUAUUCAAUAUUGUGAUUAAAUAAAACUGAUGUUAAACUGUAAUUUGCUUUUAUUUCUUAAAUUUUUAUUCAAAUUUUCCGCGUUUCCACUUAUCAUUGAUUGGCUCCGCCAUUCCGUAUCAAGCCAAUCCAAAGUUGGUCCACUUAUGCCAGUCUCCCCUUUCAGGGUCUCUACUUCUCUACUUAUCAUAGAAAGUUAGCGCCACUGGUGUCAAAGCAACAAACCGUACAUUUCCUCGUCUGACUUCUCUCGCCCCUUAGGUACCUAUAAGCUUGACGACAAUGACGAACGUUUUUUUCUUAAUAGAAAUUUUCGAUAUUUGGACUUUGCGUAGCGAUAUCUCCUCUCAUAGAAUACAUAGAGGAAAAACAAAAACAGUUUUCUAAUACAAAUCGACUGCAAGCUUUCGAUUGAGUCUAGUUAGAACUCGAUCGGUUUAGCCGUUUCUGAGAUCCAAUAAUCUCUGGUGCUGGGAAGUCGCGUACUCGCGUAAAGAGCACGGUUAGGCUCGCGCUGCGCGUUCACUUGACGCGAGCCACUACCGUGUCUCUUAAUAAUAAACAAUAGAUAGAUUACAAUUAUAUUACUUAAUUUGACUCUUUCGCUACUAAAAGUCAUCUUAUCCAUAAAAGGGGACAAAAUGACGAAAUUGACACGUUCUUAGAAAAUCAAAAUUUCUUAAAAUUCUAAUUUAUUUAACAGCUUUUAAUUUUUAUGAUAAAUACAAAAGGCUUUAUUGAAUUUAAAAAAAUAGAGCAUUAUUUUUACAUUAUCACAGAAAUUAGAAAAAAUCGACAAACCUUAAGAUCGUCUUCUUACUCCUCUUUCUCUUAUGUACAUACAUAUGUAUGGGUGCGAUCCAUUUGACGCUACAAAUGCUUUGAAGCAUUUGAAUGAUCAAUCGGAACAAAAAAUUUUACGAAUUCGACCAAUCAUAGAAUGUUUUGAAGCGUUUGUAUCAAGUGAAUCACACCCAUAGCUUCAAGUAAAGCAUUACUCCUCCCCACUCUAUCAUCUUUAUACGCUUUGCGUGAUCUUUCUCAGUAAACCGAGAAAAGUUUUCAAUUGUUUCGGACGAUCAUACUGUUCUUGACUGCUGUUUUAUAUAAAUCUGUUAUACGCUUAAUCGACAACACGGAAUUUGUAAUUAAUCGUCUAUCUUUUUCGAUUUAAUAAAUCCCGACACAUAAUGAAACUUACGUAAUUAGACAUUUGACCGCAAAAACGUGUCCCGAUUGCCUCUAACUUUGUUUGCACAGACGAAAGCAAUUAAAGUGCAAAAAUACGAUAGCACGUUUAACAUUAUUGCGCACAUACGCAUUGCAGAGAUCAAAAUAGACAAUCUUAAUAUUAUCUUUAUGCUAAAAUCUUUAUUAGGUGGAGUAACUAACUUACUGUUAUUAUUCAAUUAUACUAAUGCCGUAUUGUAAUAUUCACUGCCAAUAUUAAAAAUUUAUAUUUAAUGUUGUUUAUAUUAGAAUCAGUUUUUCAUAAAUUUUUAUUAUUACAAGUUAGAAAAUUUGUACAUGUCAGAAAGUAAAUUUCCUUAUCGUUUGUGGUAAGAAGUUAAAUUUGUCACAUUCUGGUUUUUGCUCAAAAAUUUUUUUUGACGCUUGACGCUCCUAUGCAUAGACACUUUUAUUCUCUGAUAAAAAUAAGUUCGCUUUUUUUCAAAAUUGAUUUCAUCAUUAUACAGAUUUUUAUCGAAGAAAUAAGAAUUACUGUUACAAACAGAAGCCCUAUGAUGUUACAACAAUUACAAUUUACUUGGUGCAUCUAUACAAGCUUAGUUGUAUUAUUCUGUGUUUCUGUACAUACUCAAGAAUUUAAUGGUACUCAAAUAUUGCCAGCUUAUGUUAUUGCCUCAAAAGCCGAUCUUUUGAACUCAACAUGUGGAAAAGAAUUGCAGAACUUCCGAGAUGCUGUUAACCAACGAAUAUUGUGGGGCUUAAAAGUCUUAGAUUCCAGUGGUGGAUUUAAACCAGGUUUUCUUUACGGAAAUAAUUAUUGGUUAGGCAGUCGUAGUCAGUGUCUCGAUACGAUGAAUAGGAGUCCAUUAAGCUUAUCACAGAAAAUAUUAAAUAACACGCAGUAUCGUAAUCCGCAACAAGAAUUUCCACCUUUUGAAAUAAAUUACUUUGUUGCUCAUUUUAAACACAAUAGUACUUUUCAAUAUCAUAUAUUUUUGUACGAGAAUGUGAUAACGCUAGGACUUUGUCUGCCAGCAUCGUGCUCUAUAAGUAAUCUAAGUUUUAUUUUGGAGAAAGUAUUAUAUGAUAAAAGUAUCUUAAUAAAUGAUCUUUAUUCCGCACACCUUUAUCUGAUCCAAGUGAAAGAUCUAAAAAAUAAUGACAUGUGGCUAUCCGGAGGUGCAUUAUUUUUUAUUUGUAUAUCUUUAGGACUUUGUCUUAUGACAACAAUCGGAACGAUAUAUGAUAUGCUUGUGCAUCAAAAAAAUAUUCAAAAAAAGGACAAAAUAAUGACAAGAACAAAUGAUGACAGUAUCAAAGACGUGUCUGAAGAAAGGGAAAUAAAAUUAAAUUCGUCGUUACAUUGGAAAAGUGUAAUUGGAAAAAUACUAAUAUGUUUCUCCGCUUAUACAAAUACGAGAAAAAUAUUUAGUACAAAAUUAGAUGCUGAAACAAUACCAAGCAUUCACUGCUUAAAAUUUUUUAAUAUGUGUGGAAUAAUUGUAAUCCACAGUGUAUAUUUUACAUUGGAUUCUCUUGAUAAUAAAAUAGUGUUGUGGAGAUUUAUUGAAAAUUAUACUGGUUAUUUAUGUGACUUAUUUAUUGGACUAGUAACAGUCGAUAUUUACUUUUUUUCAAGUGGAUUUUUGUUAACUUAUAUGUAUUUAAGAGAUAAAAUAUUGAUUAAACCUAUUCAAUGCAGAGAGAAAUUAACUGAAUUCUUUAUCCGUGUACUAAAAAGAUUUAUUCGGCUAACACCAGCAUACAUGAUGGCGUUAGGAAUAUUACAAUUAAGUUCCGUUUGGUUUGACAAUGUAUCGCAAAUUUAUAUGUACGAGAGGUCGCAUGAAACUUGCCCGAAAUACUGGUGGAGAAAUCUUCUGUACAUAAAUAAUUUCUUCGGUAUCGAUGCAAUGUGCAUGAGUUGGAGCUGGUAUCUAGCUAAUGAAAUGCAAUUUUAUAUUAUCACUGUGGCAAUAUUAAUUUUAUCGACUAUGUACUCUUACGCUGCUGUUCUGAUAUUGGGUACACUUUUAGUAGGCUCCAUCAUUCUUAGCGGUUAUAUAUCAUACAUUUAUGCAUAUGUACCAACAAUAAAUAAAUUGUAUACACUGCAAGAUAUUUUAUACAUCCCACCAUGGAUGAGAAUAAAUUCAUAUAUUAUUGGAAUAAUUGCAGGGUAUACUUUAAUAAAAUUAAACAAUAGUAUCUUCUUGAAAAGAAAGAUUGUAAUUCUCUGUUGGUGCAUUUUUUGUUUUGCCAGCGCUUGUAACAUUUUCGUGUUACUUUACAAGCGACUCGAAUCCGUUUUAGCUACUGCUAUUUAUGUUGCUUUUCAUAAAACAGUUUGGGCCAUAUGUAUAGCAUGGAUUGUAAUAGCGUGUUCUACUAAACACGGAGGUAUCGUUAACAAGUUACUGUCGCUUAAAAUCUGGAUCCCUCUUAGCAGACUCACGUAUUGUGCUUAUCUUUUAAAUCCUAUCGUCAUACGAUCGAUUAGGUAUUAUAGUGAAACAUCAAUUCAUUUUGAACUUAUGUCUGGGAUUGUUCUGUGUGUGGGAUACAUUACGAUCAGUUACCUUUGUGCUUAUAUAUUGUCUUUGAUGGUGGAAAUACCUUGUAUCCUGUUAAUGCGAAUGUUUAUGUCAUACUGUAAUAAGAUACAUAGAGAAGUAUAAUUUGCAGAUAGAUGCUAAACAGAAUUUAGAAAAACUCCAAAACCUAGCCAUAUGCAAGGCGAAAUUUUCACGUGAGUAUUGUCAUUGUCAUCAUCGUCGUCACCCGAUGCCCAGCUAACAUAAUAAGUAUAUAUAUAUAUUGUUCAUAUUUUAUAAUCGGUUCUACGUUGAUACUAGUAAAAUUUUUGGUAUUUACUGCAAAAUAUUCUCAGUAUAUUCUACGAAGUAGAAAAAGGCGGAAAUAGGAAUCUAUUCAGUAUGUUCUCAAUAAAUAGUAGUACGUAUCUCAAAUAUUUUCAAAAUUUACGCAAUAUACUGCUGCAAUAUCCUUUAAACAUUCUUAGUAUCUACAUGUGCUAUAUGGAAAUGUUACACGUAUAUAAUGUCAUUAUGAUUUUGAUUGUGAGAAACAUUGUAAUUUUAAGUAAUUACUAUUUUAGUAUGUAAAGCAGAUUGUAAGAAAGCAAUUUUGUAUUAAAGCAAACUAUUCGGUUUAUACUAAUAAAA